rnacentral:misc_RNA from 1 species
UUUUUUUUUUUUUUUUCUUCUUUUCUCUUUUUUACUUUGUCAAGAAAAUGCAGUUUCAUUAUUCUUGAUCCCUCAUUUUCUUUCGCUGAUUAAUGGGUAUUGCUUGGAUUUCUCAAGCGACCUUUUGCUUUGCUUCUACUUUUUAGAUACUAGUAGAUUAUGUUACAUGGUUCUUUUUUCAUAUUUUGAUGAGAUGGGCUUGAUUGCUCUGUGAAAUGUUUAAUGAAAUUGAUGGAUCUGAGAGUUGCCGUGUUCUUCGAUAAGGGAACAGUUUUUGGUCACUGUGGUUGUUGAAUGUAAUUGUAAAGCAGUAAGGGGUAUUAGUAUUUGAUUGCUGUACUAUAGCGUUUAAUUGGGACUGCUAGUCAUGGAUCAUGUUAUUGGUGGCAAGUUUAAGCUUGGACGGAAGAUCGGUAGCGGAUCCUUUGGUGAACUUUAUUUGGGCAUCAACGUACAAAGUGGAGAGGAAGUGGCUGUUAAGUUGGAAUCUGUGAAGACAAAGCACCCUCAACUUCACUAUGAGUCAAAGCUCUAUAUGCUACUUCAAGGAGGAACGGGUAUUCCCCAUCUGAAAUGGUUUGGAGUUGAGGCUGAUUACAAUGUCAUGGUUAUUGACCUUCUUGGACCAAGUUUAGAAGAUUUAUUCAACUAUUGCAAC